rnacentral:rRNA from 2 species
CUCCAGUGUUGCUGGGGUGGAUGAGUGGCGAACGGGUGAGUAACACGUGAGUAACCUUCCCUUGACUCUGGGAUAACCCCGGGAAACUGGGUCUAAUACCGGAUAUGACCUCCUGUCCCAUGGAGGGGGGUGGAAAGAUUUAUCGGUCUUGGAUGGACUCGCGGCCUAUCAGCUUGUUGGUGAGGUAAUGGCUCACAAGGCAGACGACGGGUAGCCGGCCUGAGAGGGUGACCGGCCACACUGGGACUGAGACACGGCCCAGACUCCUACGGGAGGCAGCACGUGCGGAAUAUUGCACAAUGGGGCGCAAAGCCCUGAUGCAGCGACCGCC